GACGAAGGAUCCAAGCGUUAUCCGGAUUUAUUGGGUUUAAAGGGUGCGUAGGCGGAUUGAUAAGUCAGUGGUGAAAGCCUGCAGCUUAACUGCAGAACUGCCAUUGAUACUGUCAAUCUUGAAUAUGUUUGAUGUGGGCGGAAUAUGACAUGUAGCGGUGAAAUGCUUAGAUAUGUCAUAGAACACCGAUUGCGAAGGCAGCUCACAAAGCCAUUAUUGACGCUGAGGCACGAAAAGCGUGGGGAUCAAAACAGG
rnacentral:rRNA from 1 species